AGGACGAACGCUGGCGGCGUGCCUAACACAUGCAAGUCGAACGGAGUCCAUCCGGUGGCAACACCGGUGAAGAUUCAGUGGCGAACGGGUGCGGAACACGUGAGCAACCUGCCCCGAAGACCGGGAUAACGGCGGGAAACUGCCGCUAAUACCGGAUAUCCCCACGAGAUCGCAUGGCCUUGUGAGGAAAGGAUUACCGCUUCGGGAGGGGCUCGCGGCCUAUCAGCUUGUUGGUGAGGUAACGGCUCACCAAGGCGACGACGGGUA
rnacentral:rRNA from 1 species